CCUACGGGAGGCAGCAGUGGGGAAUAUUGCGCAAUGGGCGAAAGCCUGACGCAGCGACGCCGCGUGAGGGAUGAAGGUCUUCGGAUCGUAAACCUCUGUCAGCAGGGAAGAACGGUCACUGUGCUAAUCAGCAGUGAAUUGACGGUACCUGCAAAGGAAGCACCGGCUAACUCCGUGCCAGCAGCCGCGGUAAUACGGAGGGUGCAAGCGUUAAUCGGAAUUACUGGGCGUAAAGCGCUCGUAGGCGGUAUGUCAAGUCAAGGGUGAAAUCCCCGCGCUCAACGUGGGAACUGCCUUUGAAACUGGCAAACUGGAGUGUGGGAGAGGAUAGUGGAAUUCCAGGUGUAGGAGUGAAAUGCGUAGAUAUCUGGAGGAACAUCAGUGGCGAAGGCGACUAUCUGGCACAUAACUGACGCUGAGGAGCGAAAGCGUGGGUAGCAAACAGGAUUAGAUACCCUUGUAGUC
rnacentral:rRNA from 1 species